rnacentral:rRNA from 1 species
UACGUAGGGCGCAAGCGUUGUCCGGAAUCAUUGGGCGUAAAGAGCUCGUAGGUGGUCUGUUACGUCUGCUGUGAAAUCCUAGGGCUUAACCCUGGGCCUGCAGUGGAUACGGGCAGACUAGAGUUCGGUAGGGGAGUCUGGAAUUCCUGGUGUAGCGGUGAAAUGCGCAGAUAUCAGGAGGAACACCGGUGGCGAAGGCGGGACUCUGGGCCGAUACUGACGCUGAGGAGCGAAAGCGUGGGGAGCGAACAGG